AUUGAACGCUGGCGGCAGGCUUAACACAUGCAAGUCGAACGGUAACAUAAAGAAGCUUGCUUCUUUGAUGACGAGUGGCGGACGGGUGAGUAAUGCUUGGGAAUCUAGCUUAUGGAGGGGGAUAACUACGGGAAACUGUAGCUAAUACCGCGUAGAAUCGAGAGAUGAAAGUGUGGGACCUUCGGGCCACAUGCCAUAGGAUGAGCCCAAGUGGGAUUAGGUAGUUGGUGAGGUAAAGGCUCACCAAGCCGACGAUCUCUAGCUGGUCUGAGAGGAUGACCAGCCACACUGGGACUGAGACACGGCCCAGACUCCUACGAGAGGCAGCAGUGGGGAAUAUUGCGCAAUGGAGGCAACCCUGACGCAGCCAUGCCGCGUGAAUGAAGAAGGCCUUCGGGUUGUAAAGUUCUUUCGGUAGCGAGGAAGGCAUUUAGUUUAAUAGACUAGGUGAUUGACGUUAACUACAGAAGAAGCACCGGCUAACUCCGUGCCAGCAGCCGCGGUAAUACGGAGGGUGCGAGCGUUAAUCGGAAUAACUGGGCGUAAAGGGCACGCAGGCGGUGACUUAAGUGAGGUGUGAAAGCCCCGGGCUUAACCUGGGAAUUGCAUUUCAUACUGGGUCGCUAGAGUACUUUAGGGAGGGGUAGAAUUCCACGUGUAGCGGUGAAAUGCGUAGAGAUGUGGAGGAAUACCGAAGGCGAAGGCAGCCCCUUGGGAAUGUACUGACGCUCAUGUGCGAAAGCGUGGGGAGCAAACAGG
rnacentral:rRNA from 1 species